rnacentral:tRNA from 1 species
GUCAAGAUGGCCGAGUUGGUUUAAGAUGCCAGUUUCAGGUACUGGUUCAAAAAGACAUGGGUUCAAAUUUCAUUCUUGGCA